rnacentral:sRNA from 1 species
GCCCAAUUUCGCACGUGCCUGUGGCCGUGUGUCGGUCGGUAGGUAGCGGGACAAGAGGCCCGCCAGCCGCCUGGAGAGCGAAAGCCCUCCAAGAAAUCUGACCGGCAGCUGGAGGCGAAACCAGCACAGCCUGCUCUCCGCAGGCGACGCGGCUUAAAGCAACGACGGAGCGGGCUUCU